CUGUUGGCUCAGGGUCCCGCAGCGCUCGGAAGUGACUUUCCCAACUCCGCGGCCUCGGGCGGCUGCGGCUCCUCCUCAUCCCGGGAUGGGUGAGUGCCCAGUCCGGACGAGCCGGUCCGGUCCGCUGCGUUUACUGCGAUCCUGCGUUUCACACAGUAAAACGUAUGUGAAGGUUUCACUAUACAGCGGCUUGGUGGUAGAAAAUCUGACUACAUGGCAAAGUGUGAAGAAGGAAAAACAGGGAGGAGCAAGCUCAAAGGGAUUCAGGGCCUGGCCCAGGCGCCUGACUUAAUGUCCUCGCUGCUGCAGGGAAACCAAGACUGAUUCGCUAAUCAGUGCUGAGAAUGGAUCCCCAGCCCCUGACCUCGUCUCAGAAAGCGUCGGCAGGCAGGCCUCAAAGGGCUGCUCAGGUCCCAGUAACACCGGAGCGAGCCUGCGACCUCACUGGGGUAGUCCUGGAAGACGUCAGGGUUCUUACAAACCCUCCUUCAAAGUUGGGGCUCCUAGGAAAACCCUGGAAGGAGACUGGGCCCAGAGGGCCAGCAAGAGGAGGAGAAAGACUGAUGUGGCAAUCCUGUGGGCAGGGCUUGAAGAGGAAGCAAGGUCAGGAAAUGAUUAAUCUGGACGGGUAGUAGUUGAGCAGGGCAGCUCCCAGAAGUGAAGUCCUGGGGUAGCCCGGUGUCACCCCAUGGUCACUUCUCACUCUUCUCUACCGCCACUCUCACAGUCCUCUGCCUAAUGGUGGCCACCUACCUGGGGCAUCUCUACCAACUUUUACCCCAUAGUAUUUCGGAUUCCUUAAAGUUCCUCUGCUGCUUUCCCAGUUGUAUUUGAUUUGCUGUUACAGCAAACCUCAGACCUAUUAAGGCAGUGAGCAGCUGUGGGGAGUGACCAGUCAAGCGCACCUUCAAGUCUUGGCUCUGUCACCUGCUCAAUGGAGUCCUCACAAGACUUUUUCUUCAUCUGUAAAACUGGAAUAAUAAUAUUUAUCUGGAAAAGAAGAUGUAAGAACUCAGGAGAAUUACCUCCAUAUAUAGUAGUAGGUUCCAGAUAAAUAUACAUUUUAAAAAAUACCCCUCUUCCCUGGGAUGGAAGAGGGAUCGGGACAAUAACAGCUGUCCCCUCAAGCUCUUCCACCCAUCUCCUUCUGUCAACCUAUUUAUCUUUAAGGCCUGGGUCAACCAAUCUCUGUUUACCCCUGGACACCUAUUCCACCUUUAGUAUCCACAGCCCCUCUUUUAGCCAUGAGCAUGCUCUGACUCAUGCUGUCUUUACUACUGGUAUGUAAUGUUAUUUUUUUUCACCCUGUAGAAACUGUUUCCUAGUCCCCUAAACGUCAGUUUAGACAUCACUUCCUCCUGGAGGCCUUUCCUGACCCUGCUCCAACCCAGGUUAGCUCCAGAGGAUGAUGCCUUCCACUGCCCCCACUCUGCUUUUAUGAAACACUCUUCAUGCAUGUAAUUAUUUAAUGUCUGCCUUCCCCUCGGAGGUCCUUAAGGGUAGCAAACAAGUCUGUCUGGUUUCUUGCUUUCUAACAUAAUGUGCAGAAUAUGGAGGGUGUCCAACAUGUAACUCUUCAAUGGUGAAUGAAUGGGUGAGUGACGGAUUAGCAACGUCUAGGAAGACAGGAGUUUAGGAAUGGCCCAGUAUAGGCCAGGUAUUCAUCUACCCCCUCAAGAUCUCUGCAUUUGCUUUCAGGUCUGAGUUUGUGAUUUUGAAAGGGACAGAAAUGUGAAGGUAUCUUGUAAGGUGUGAACUGCUUUAAAUUUUUUCUUUUUUUGGUACUGGGGAUCAAACUCAGGUCCUUGCACUUGGGCAGCAGGCGGCUAAACCACUGAGCUAAAUCCCUGGCCCCCAAUUUUUUUUUUUAAAUUAGUACCCUUUGUGCUGAACCAGAAUGAAGACACGUUGGAGCAGGAGCCCUAAUUUAGUCAUCCCCGAUUGCCAUAGUCCCCUGGAGGACAGCCUGUAUCAGGAACCCCGAAGAAGCUGCACAAAAUCAGAGGCCUCCCUAGGGCUUUCCCUAGAGUGCCUUAAAACCAAAAACUUUCCUGUCUUUAAGUUUUUAUUGUAAGAAGAAAAAAA